UCUUCCGGCGGAAGUCGACGCCACGCCCUCCCCGGCGCGUCUGUUUUCACAAGCGCCGAGUGGGGUGUCUGUGUUCUAGGGCACUGAUUUCUACAGGUUCCCAGCGCCAGGAGGGGCAGAGGGCGAUCCGGAUGGGACGCAGCCAGCCACUGUACGGCCUGUAAUCCACUCUUACCCCCCAGCUACAGGACCGCGCAUGGGAUUGCUUUGAAGAUCUGAUGAGAACCAUGACUCUCCCAAGAGAAAUGCACGACAAUUUUACAAACAAGCUUCGUAAGGUUCAGACCCAGAAGCCAGGGUAAGAAUUCCCUUAAAUAAAUGUUUUGCUUGGUAGGAAGGAUGAAGGGAGAUGUGGAGUAGGGGAGACAAAUGCAAGAAGCAAAUACUACCAGUAGAACAUGACCCAGAUACUUUCAGGUAUGUGAUGUUUUUCUAAGUAAAAUGAUGAGCGAUUGUCUUAGUUUACAGAAAUCCACGUGCCACAAUUUCUAGAGGUAUCUUGGAUCUUUCUAAUCCUUCCCUGGUAAAAUGGGGGAUGUCAGCAAGAGUUUGAGGAUAUCUAAGUUGUAAAAUGGACAUGAGAACAUCACCAAUAAGCUGGACUCCAGACAGCUCUGUCUAGGAUUUUAUUAGACUGCUUUUUUUCCCCCAAUAUACCUGUAUUGGAAGAUUGAGACAAAAAGGCACAAACUCACAUUAAAUAAACAAGGUAAUCUAA